GCGGGCGCACCUGACAAAGAUGGAGAUUGAGUGAGAGAGAGUGAGUGAGAGGAUAUUGACAUUUUCGGGGCGCAUUCGGGGGUCGGGUCGCCUCCGAUCCGCAGUAUCCAUGACUACAUCAUCCGAGAUGAAUCCGCGCGACGUACCCGGGGAAUCCCUGAUGAUCCAAGGAUCGUGAAAGAACCAAAAAAAAUAAAAGAAGAAACGAUAAAAAAAAACCCCGGGACUAAUUUGCGGAAAUUUUUUUUUUUUUCUAAAUCCAACGAACCCCCUUUUACUCUCCAAUUCGCGAGGAACAGAAACGAUAAGAAAUCGGGUGUUAAUUUUCUUUUUUGUUUUGUUUCCUUCUUUCUUUUGAGGGGAAUUUAUAGCAAAAAAAUUGUGUACGUGCGUGUGUGUAUUUGUGUUUCAAGAAAAAAAAAACGUGAUAACUCUCUCCGGAAAGCUGAUAAAGGUGGAACAACAACAAUGAUGUGACAAUAAAAGGUGUCAUCAGCUUUUUAUGUUAUCCGCGGGAUCGUUUCGGAUCCUCGUUUAAUCCAGUGCUUCCCAAAUUUAAAAAAAAAAAAAAAACAAAAAAAAUCCAAAAAAAGAAAAAUAAUUUAAAACAGACAACCUAAGUUUUUAAAAACAUACAAAAACUAAAAUAAAAUAAAAAAAAAAAAACCAACAAACUAAAAGUCUAAAAAUUGAACAUCGACUGACCUGGAAUUUGUGUGCCAAAAGUCAAAGAGCCAAAUUUUUUUGUGUCAAACAAGUCAAUCCAAAAGACUAGAGAAGAAAAUUUAAGGAAUUUAAUAAGUGAUAAGGAAAAAUAAAAAAAAAAAAGUUAAUUAAAAACGUUGAAAAAAAAGGAAUGAAACGUUAAAAGAAAAUAAAUCCAAAGAAAAAGAGAAAGAAAAGAAAAGGUAGAAGAAAAAGAAGAAAAAAGAAGAAAUUGAAAUAAAAAGAAAGUGAAAUACAAAACGUAGAAAAUUAAAGAAAAAAAAAGUUAAGCAAAGAUAAGCAAAAUAGCAAUAAACAAAGUAAAGAAAAAAACAUAAAUAAAAACAAAAUUAAUGAAAGAAAAUAAAAUAACGAAGCGAAAGUGAGAAAUCAGAAAUAAAAAAUUAAUUAACGAAAUAGAAGAUAAUAAAGAAAGAAGAAAAUAAAGAAACGAAAAAAUUAAAGAAGAAAAACAAAGAGAAUAAAGAACAAAGAAAUUAAAGAAAAGAAAUUUAAAAAAUAAAGAAAAUAAAAAAGAAAUUGAA